CCUCCUUCUUCCCGCUUUCUCCGGAUUCACUGGGUUUAAAGGGUGUGCAGGUGGGAUAAUAAGUCAGUGGUGAAAGCCCCCGACUCAAUCGGGGAACUGCCAUCGAUACUGUUAUUCUUGAGUGUAGUUGAGGCGGGCGGAAUAUGACAUGUAGCGGUGAAAUGCGUAGAUAUGUCAUAGAACACCGAUCGCGAAGGCAGCUCGCCUAACUAUUACUGACACUGAAACACGAAAGUGCGGGGAUCAAACAGGA
rnacentral:rRNA from 1 species